CAAUAGCGUAUAUUUAAGUUGUUGCAGUUAAAAAGCUCGUAGUUGGAUUUCGGGUGGGACGCAGCGGUCUCGCAUUGCGUUUGUACUGCUGCAGCCCUCCUUCUUGCCGGGGGCGGCCUCUCGGACUUCACUGUCUGGGGGUCAGAAUCGGCGAUGUUACUUUGAGUAAAUUAGAGUGUUCAAAGCAAGCUUACGCUCUGAAUAUAAUAGCAUGGGAUAACACGACAGGACUCUGGCCUAUCGUGUUGGUCUAUAGGACCAGAGUAAUGAUUAAGAGGGACAGUUGGGGGCAUUCGUAUUCCGUUGUCAGAGGUGAAAUUCUUGGAUUUACGGAAGACGAACAUCUGCGAAAGCAUUUGCCAAGGAUGUUUUCAUUGA
rnacentral:rRNA from 1 species